rnacentral:rRNA from 1 species
UGAUCAUGGCUCAGAUUGAACGCUGGCGGCAGGCCUAACACAUGCAAGUCGAGCGGCAGCACAGAGGAACUUGUUCCUUGGGUGGCGAGCGGCGGACGGGUGAGUAAUGCCUGGGAAAUUGCCCGGUAGAGGGGGAUAACCAUUGGAAACGAUGGCUAAUACCGCAUAACCUCGCAAGAGCAAAGCAGGGGACCUUCGGGCCUUGCGCUACCGGAUAUGCCCAGGUGGGAUUAGCUAGUUGGUGAGGUAAGGGCUCACCAAGGCGACGAUCCCUAGCUGGUCUGAGAGGAUGAUCAGCCACACUGGAACUGAGACACGGUCCAGACUCCUACGGGAGGCAGCAGUGGGGAAUAUUGCACAAUGGGCGCAAGCCUGAUGCAGCCAUGCCGCGUGUAUGAAGAAGGCCUUCGGGUUGUAAAGUACUUUCAGUAGGGAGGAA